GACCUGCGGAAGGAUCAUUAC
rnacentral:rRNA from 2 species